GCAGCCUGAUGCAGCGACGCCGCGUGAGGGAUGACGGCCUUCGGGUUGUAAACCUCUUUCAAUAGGGACGAAGCGCAAGUGACGGUACCUAUAGAAGAAGCACCGGCCAACUACGUGCCAGCAGCCGCGGUAAUACGUAGGGUGCGAGCGUUGUCCGGAAUUACUGGGCGUAAAGAGCUCGUAGGUGGUUUGUCGCGUUGUUCGUGAAAACUCACAGCUUAACUGUGGGCGUGCGGGCGAUACGGGCAGACUGGAGUACUGCAGGGGAGACUGGAAUUCCUGGUGUAGCGGUGGAAUGCGCAGAUAUCAGGAGGAACACCGGUGGCGAAGGCGGGUCUCUGGGCAGUAACUGACGCUGAGGAGCGAAAGCGUGGGGAGCGAACAGGAUUAGAUACCCUGGUAGUCCACGCCGUAAACGGUGGGUACUAGGUGUGGGUUUCCUUCCUUGGGAUCCGUGCCGUAGCUAACGCAUUAAGUACCCCGCCUGGGGAGUACGGCCGCAAGGCUAAAACUCAAAGAAAUUGACGGGGGCCCGCACAAGCGGCGGAGCAUGUGGAUUAAUUCGAUGCAACGCGAAGAACCUUACCUGGGUUUGACAUGCACAGGACGCCGGCAGAGAUGUCGGUUCCCUUGUGGC
rnacentral:rRNA from 1 species